rnacentral:lncRNA from 1 species
GAAAUCCUAACCUGUGUUCUUUCAGUUUCUUCUCCAACACUGUCAACUUCUCUUCCUUCCCUGCACUGUGUGCACUAUAUCUCCAGCAACAUCGCCUCCGUAUGGUCGAAUCCCCUCCCUCUCCCAAUCUCAAGUCAAGCUCCAUUCCCAAUUCUGAGUCUGGAUCUACGGCGGGACGGUUGAAGUACCUCGCCGACACGCCUUGAGAACAUUUGGGGCUUCCUUGACGAAGGUAUGUUGUCCAAUGUUCUAUUCUUUAAUUUGCAUUUAGUGCAUUGUAGUGUGUUUACUUUGCAUUGCAGUGCAUUAAUUACUUUGCAUUUAUCAUAUCUUCAAUAGGAUAAGGAUUGAAUAUGUGUGUAACACUAAAAAAAAGGAUAAUUGAUUGAUACUUAGUGAGAAAGAGAAUGAAUGAGGAUGAUGGAAAAACAGGGUGGAAUGGUGGUGAGUUUAUAGGGCAUCAUUUGGUUGUGUGAGAAUUGUCAUAGCCAAAUGAAUGUACAAAAGCUGUCUAGGUCUCUGCUAUCUGUUGCAAUGUGUUUUUGUGGUGAGUUGAUGGCGGUCGGAGUUGAUUAGGUAUAACAAUGGCUAGUACUAAGCUAUGAAACAUAAACAUGCAUACGCUACGGUGUAUAUAUAUAUAUAUAUAUAUAUAUUAAUAUACUUUAUCAUAAAAAAAAGUAAGAGAAACAUUUAUAAAAGAAUCUAUAAAACAUAAAUUUAUGUAAAUUAUAAUAUUUGAUUUUUAUUUUUGUUCAUUCUUAUUUUUAUUAAAAAAUAUAACUUCUAAUUAUGGUUGAUAAGAAGAUAAACUAGCAAUAUUAAGAAUCUCAUUGUCAUCUAGUAAAAGUUCAUCUCUUUCAAUAUUUCACAAUUUAGUUUCUCCUUUUUUAUUUUAAGGAUUUUCUUGGGAGAAGAUGAAGAUUACUAUGUAAAAAUAUUAGACCAUUUGUUCUUUUUAGUGUCAUCUUUUUUUUUAAAGAAUGUAUAGAAGAGUAAGUAAUCAAAUUCCUUUUACAACUACAAGAAGAAUGCAAUUGUCCAAAUAAUUUAAGAGCUAUCUUCUGAAGUAUUGGUGCAUGAGCUCUAUGAACAAUCUAAUGUUAUAUUGCAUCUAUUUUACCUCUAACAUUAAAGAGUCAACAUUAGAAAAAUCUUCUCUUCCUUAUGAAAAGUUUGCAAAUUCUAUAUUUAUCUGUCUCCUUGCAUCCACAUGGUCAAAAGUACCUUUCAAAACAUUCAUCUCAUGAUUAAGUUCCAUGAGAUGAGACAAAUAUUUGUGAAUUUUCAUUUAACCAUUUAUGACUAUAAUAUUUACAACAUUAAAAAUAUAUAAACAUAAAUUAAUAUAAUAUUAUAUAUAAUAUGUCCAUAAUAAAAUAUAAUUAAAAAAUAAUUUCACUAUACGAUGUAUUAUUACCUUGGAUUUAAAGAAAGGGCAAGACAAUGAAGAAAUGCAUUACUCUUAUUUCAGCAAUCAACUAAUAUUGAGUUUACUAUCUCAAAAAAUGAUGAAUGUUUGACUUCUGUCUUUAUUUCAGGUUGGUAUAUGACAUUUUUUCACGUUUUCAAUAAUUAAAUUUCACAUUUCGUAUACUAAGUGAUUAGUAGCCAUAUUUGUAUUUAUUUUUCCUAUGAAAAUCAUAAGUAGGAGUAGUAAAAACAAGUAUAUAAUCAAUCUUCAUCUACCAAUUAUCAAUUAAUAAAGUUUCUUUCAUAAAUUGUGCACUAUCUCUUAUCAUCUUUGUAAGAGGACCAUUUGUUACUAAUAAUUAUCUCUUGGAGUCCUUAUCAAUAAUUUAAGAGAUUCAAAAACAUUGUUGAUAAACAUAAAUAUUUCUUAUAGUAUUUUUUUGUUGCACAACUAUUUUUUAAUGCAAGAUUCAAGGUGUGCAGUACACAAUGAGUCCAAUAAAUUGAAGAAAAUUUUAAUUCUAUAAGCAUACCUGUUGCCUUACAUAUAUAAUUGCAUUAUCAGUUAUAAUUUGUAUCACAUUUUUUGGCUCAACCUCCAUAAUUGCAUAUCUUGUGUGAUUAACAAUAAAAUCUUUGUCCCUUAUCUCACAACCUAUCACUAACAAUUGUUGCACCUUUCUGAUUUCAUGAGUUUCGUAUAGGUUGCAAAAUAUUUUUUACAUGACUUCUUUCUUUUGAAAGUAAAGGGCCUAUCAAUUUAUUAUAUGUUGGUAGUACAUAUUCACUAAGAUUAGAAGUAUUAGCUACAUAAGAAAAUUCACUUUUAUAAUAAGCACUUUUGGCUAGAUUAAAUGGUAAUCCUGAAGAAUAAAACAUCUUCGCUAUUUCACAAUCAAGAGUAUCUCUCGCUUGAAUAUUGAAAGAAGCUUGUAAAGAACCUUUGAAGUCAAUAGAUGAAUCAAGUGAGAUAAAGAACAAAAAGUUUAUUCCUAAACACCUAAAAAGAUGUAAUUACGGAGUUUGAGCUAAAAAAUGUGGUGCAAAUUAUAAUUGAUAAUGCAGUUGUAUGGAAGGCCGUGUGUAUGCUUAUAAAAUUAAAAUUUUCUUCAAUUUUUUGAACUCUUUGUGUAGUGCACUUCUUCAAUCUUGCAUUAAAAAAUAUUUGUGCAGCAAAAAAAAUACUGAAAUAGUGAUAUUUAUCAACAAUGUUUUAGGAUCUCUCAAAUUGUUUAUAAUGCUACUUUUAUUAAAACCUUUAUUGUAGGACACUCUUAUGAGAUUAUCAAUGUUCAAUAACUUUAACUCAUUGAAGUUGCUUACUCUUGCUCCAACAAGAUUUGCAUCAACCAUGUCAUGCUAAAAAUGUUUAGAAGUUUGAAAAAAGAACUUCAAGAGAUGAUUAUUAGUGAUGAAUGGUAUUCUUGAGAAUAAUGUGGAUAGUGCACAAUUUGUGAAAGAAACUUUGUUGACUGAUAACUGGUGGAUGAAUGUUAAUUACAUACUUGCUUUUAAUGCUUCUAAUUAUAAUGUUCUAUGUUCUUAGAAAAACAACAGAUACAAUUAUGGCUACUAUUCACUUAAGUAUACGAAAUGUGAGAUUAAAUUAUUGAAGAUAUGAAAAAGGUCAUAUAUCAACGUGAAAAAAAGACAAAAGUUGUUAAUUCAUCGUAUUUUGAGGUAGUAAACUCAAUAUUAAUGGAUGGUUGGACUAAACGUAGCACAUCUCUUCAUUGCCUUGCUCAUUCUUUAGACCUAAGGUAAUACAUUGUAUAGUUAAAUUAUUUAUAGUUUUAUUUUAUUGCGUACAUAUCAUUUAUAAUAUCAUAAAUUUAUAAUAUUAUAUUAAUUUAUGUUCUUAAUGUUGUAGAUAUUAUAGUCAUAAAUGGUUAAAUAAUGAAGAUUUAUAAAGACUUGUCCCACAUCAAGAUGUUGAACUUAUGAAAGGAAUAAAUGUUUUAAGAUGUACUUUGAUGAUCCGGAUGUAAGGAGAUAGGUAAAUAUAGAAUUUUCAGAUGGAAGAGAAUAUUUUGUUUAAUGUUGACUCUUUAAGGGAUAAAGAUAAAAUGGAUGCAAAAUCAUUGUGGGUUGUUCAUGGAGCUCAUGCACCAACACUUCAGAAGAUGAUCCUUAAAUUGCUUGAACAACUGUGUUCUUCUUCUUGUUGUGAAAGGAAUUGAAGUACCUACUCUUUUAUACAUCUUUUUUGAAAAUAAGAAAUAAGAUGACAUUUAAAAGGGCGGAAGAUUUAGUAUCUGUCCAUAUUUUUCUUCAUCUCCUCUCAAAAAAAAUCCUCAAAAUACAAAGAAGAGAAAACUAAAUUGUGAGAUAACUUUUUACUUGAUGAUAAUAAUUCUUGAUAUUGAUUAUCUCUUGAUGAAUCGGAAUUAGAAGUUGUAUAUUUUUUUAAUGAGGAUAAACAAAUAUAAAAAUCAAAUAUUAUGAUUUACAGAAGUUUAUGUUUUGUUAGACUUUUUUUAUAAAUAUUUCUCUGGAUUUUUUCGGAUGACCAAGUAUGUUAAUACAUAUAUAUAUAUAUAUCCGUAUCCGUGUUCUAUAAUUUCUAAUUUAACCGUAUCCUGUAUAUGUGUCUGUAUCUGUUGGAGAUCCCACAUCGACUAGAGAUUAGAGCCUUUCAUAAUAUAUAAGUGGGUGCAAACCUCACUCUAUGAACCGGUUUUAUAGGGUUGAGUUAAGCUUAAAGUCCACUUCUUAAUAGUAUCUCUGUUUUACGGGUUACUUUGCUUUACUGCAUUGCAGUGCCAGUGUUCUUGGUGAUUUCCAACAACUCUUGGUUGAUCAACCAAUAUCCAAGCAGAGGAAGGUAUGCUAGAAUUAUUCGUGAGGUAGUAGAAGUUAUGUUUUGGUCAUUAAACAUAAUUUCGUGUAAUGCUUAUGAUAAUCAUUAGGAAUGCUUCAUUUUGAAUUAGACCUCUUGAUGCUUCUGUAUAUGAUCUUUAGAUCUCUGUUGGAGCAUUGUUAAUUUUUAUUUUAUUUUCAAUUGAGCAUUGUUAAUGAAUAGAUCUACUAUUAAAGUAAAUUGGAGUUUGUUAAAUUUUUGAGACUUGGUUUUGGUUUGAAAUAGUUUAUACUUCUGAGAUUUUACAUUGUUUUGUUUAAAGAAUCUAUAAACUAAAACUCUACAAGUCUGGUGCUACCCCUUAUUUUUUUAGGAAAACUAAAUAUGUUAACCUAAAGAUGGACAUUUUAUUAAACAAUUUUAACUUUUAAGAUAUGUUGUCUCUUUGGUGUUCUCUACUGGUAGGACAACAAGGUAACGUGUAUGUAAGAAGAAUCUGGGGUAUUCCUUAUCUGAAAAUAUGAAAGUAAUCACUUGAGAUACUGAUAUCUAUUUGGGAGAGAGAGAAUGGAUACUAUCAAAUUACCUGUUUCUUGUUAUUUUUCUAAGCAUUUCCUGCGUUGUUUUAGAAACACAAGACCUGAUAUCACCUUGAUGCAGGCCUGAGAAACUUAAGAAAUCUGGAUUGCUUUUUUAGACCUUAUAAGAUGUCAAAUUUGAUUAAACUGUUUUAAAGUAAAUUGGAGUUUGUUAAAUUUCUGAGACUUAGAUACAAAAUUUCUGAAACUUGUCUCUUACAAUUUAAAAACACAGAAGUAAACAAUCUCAUCUCACAAAAGAUAUAAGAAUACAAGGUCCAUAUAUGCUAGCUUUCAAGGCUCUUUUUGUAGUUUUAUGGAUGCUCUCACUUUUUUUUCUCUAACCUUAGUUUUCAAGGCUUGCUUAUUUUUUACAGCAAUUAUUUUUCUCUUCUAAAGUAAUUAUUUAGUCAAACUCUUUCUUUUCAGGAAAAGAAAAAUAAAGUUGUUGUUGUGCUAUUUAUCGCUUCUAGACUUAGAUUCAAGUUUUUAUUCGAUCUAUUUAAUUGUUGAAUAGUUACUUACUAUGCUUUAAUUCUUCAAGUUCAUAGACAAUUUUGUUAGUAAUAGGUUAUUUUGUGUUUUUUAUUGGAUAUUUUGUUUUUAUCUCUAAUACAACAUAAUCAUGGACAAAAUUGGAUGGUAGCACCUAGAUCAUCUAUUAGGUAUUUGAAUGGAUUGAAAUUUUUUCUAAAUUUUGAAUUUGAAAAUGCUGCAUAUAGUUUGUAUUUGGGUAACCGAAAGGAAGUGUAUGAACAUUUAAUGAGGUGAGUUUUCCAUGGAAAUGUGGAUCUUCAAAGAAGAAAUGUGUAAGGAUCAUCUACGUAGAGGGUGAGUAUGCAAGUACAAGUGAGGCAGAGAGAUUGUUGCGUCAUCAUUUUUGUGUUACAGAACUGGAGUGUUAUAAUGGUUGUGUUGCACAAUUGAGACUCUAAUAAUGCAAGUACAAGUGAGGCAGAGAGAUUGUUGCGUCAUCAUUUUUGUGUUACAGAACUGGAGUGUUAUAAUGGUUGUGUUGCACAAUUGAGACUCUAAUCUGCUAUGGCUGGUGUCUGUUCUGAUGUGAGGAAAAAGGAAGAAGCGAUUUCCUUUUUAUUUUGAGGUUGAGAAAGAAUGAUGUAAGCAAGCAAGGUGAGUUAGAAAGAUAAAGGCUUUGCUCAGCAUACAAAUGAAGAUAAAACACUCUUCAUUAUUAACUGAAUGGUAUGUAUUGUUUUGGAAUUUGGAAAAUUCUUCAUAUCCAACUUUACAUUAUAAGAGGGAUAUGUACAAUUUUAGCAAAGUUUUGUAAUCCAACCAUUAUUUGUUUAUAUUGAAUUACCAAACGUUACAACUACUCAUUGUCUAACCUUGUAAAUAAAUAUAUUUCUUUUGACGAGCUAUAAAUAAAUAUUUAAGUAUGACAUGCAGUAUGCUUAAACUUGGAGGUGGAAAUUGGUACAAG